AGAGUUUGAUCCUGGCUCAGAACAAACGCUGGCGGCGUGUCUUAAGCAUGCAAGUCGAGCGGCAGGCGCAGCAAUGCGCUGAGAGCGGCGGACUGGUGAGUAACGCGUGGGUAAUCUACCUUUGGCAUGGGGAUAGCCACUAGAAAUAGUGGGUAAUACCGAAUACGUUCCCUGGGGGGAGGUUUCAGGGAAGAAAGGGUGCUACGGCACCGGCCGGAGAUGAGCUCGCGUCCCAUUAGCUUGUUGGUGAGGUAACGGCCCACCAAGGCGAUGAUGGGUAGCCGGCCUGAGAGGGUGUACGGCCACACUGGGACUGAGAUACGGCCCAGACUCCUACGGGAGGCAGCAGCUAAGAAUAUUCCGCAAUGGACGAAAGUCUGACGGAGCGACGCCGCGUGGAUGAUGAAGGCCGAAAGGUUGUAAAGUCCUUUUGCUGGGGAAGAAUAAGUGUGGGAGGGAAUGCCCGCAUGAUGACAUGAACCGGCGAAUAAGCCCCGGCCAACUACGUGCCAGCAGCCGCGGUAACACGUAGGGGGCGGGCGUUGUUCGGAAUUACUGGGCGUAAAGGGCAUGUAGGCGGUCUGGUAAGCCUGGCGUGAAAGGCCACAGCUCAACUGUGGGAUUGCGUUGGGAACUGCUGGGCUUGAGUUAUGGAGAGGGAGCUAGAAUUCCUGGUGUAGGGGUGAAAUCUGUAAUAUCAGGAAGAUACCGAUGGCGAAGGCAGCUCUCUGGCGAUGACUGACGCUGAAGUGCAAAGUGUGGGGAAUAACAGGAUAGAUACCUUGUAACUCCCACUGAAACGAUGUGUCUAU
rnacentral:rRNA from 1 species